GAAGCGGCAACAGCUCAAAUUUGAAAUCGGGCGCCCGCCCGAGUUGUAAUUUGCAGAGGAUGCUUCUGGGCAGCGAGCCGGUCUAAGUCUCUUGGAACAGGGCGUCAUAGAGGGUGAGAAUCCCGUAUGCGACCGGCCGCGCACCCUCCACGAAGCUCCUUCGACGAGUCGAGUUGUUUGGGAAUGCAGCUCAAAAUGGGAGGUAAAUGUCUUCUAAAGCUAAAUACCGGCCAGAGACCGAUAGCGCACAAGUAGAGUGAUCGAAAGAUGAAAAGCACUUUGGAAAGAGAGUCAAACAGCACGUGAAAUUGUUGAAAGGGAAGCGCAUGCGCCCAGACGCGUCGGCGGCGUUCCGCCGGUCUUCUUGACCAGGCUCACUUCGCCGCCGACGGGCCAGCAUCGCUUGGGCGCGCCGGAAAAAGGCGCGGGGAAUGUGGCCCCCUUCGGGGGGUGUUAUAGCCUCGCGCGCCAUGCGGCGACGCCCGAGCGAGGACCGCGCUUCGGCGAGGAUGCUGGCGUAAUGGGCGCCUGCGGCCCGUCUUGAAACACGGACCAAGGAGUCUAACAUCUACGCGAGUGUUUGGGUGUCAAACCCCGACGCGCAAUGAAAGUGAACGGAGGUGGGAACCUUUGCGGGUGCACCAUCGACCGAUCCUGAUGUCUUCGGAUGGAUUUGAGUAAGAGCGUAGCUGUUGGGACCCGAAAGAUGGUGAACUAUGCCUGAAUAGGGUGAAGCCAGAGGAAACUCUGGUGGA
rnacentral:rRNA from 2 species